AUGAUGCAGCUUCACUGCUACCCUGACGCCAUCAAGGCCGAAGACGAUGGCGGCGGUUCGAUGCGCGGCGAGGAGGCUCGGUGGCUCCCUGCUCCAGCGAGCGCAGGCGGAGGAGCGACGCCGGCUCGUGCCAAGGAGGCUCAUGCGCUCCCGCCACCUCUCCACCGAGGAAGCAAAAGAGAUCCAGCAGAAGAAGGAGGCGCUGUAUCUCCAGAACAGAGUUCUUUGAGAAAUCAGGCCUACUUUUGUUCUAUUAAUCUACUCCUAACAUAUUGGUUGUUUCUUCAAGAACAGAGGGAAACGUGA
rnacentral:rRNA from 1 species